GUCUUCGUAGCUCAGCAGGAUAGAGCGUCCGCCUCCUAAGCGGAAGGCCCCGGGUUCGAAUCCCGGCGAGGAUACCA
rnacentral:tRNA from 1 species